rnacentral:rRNA from 1 species
GGGGAAUAUUGCACAAUGGGCGCAAGCCUGAUGCAGCGACGCCGCGUGGGGGAUGACGGCCUUCGGGUUGUAAACUCCUUUCGCUAGGGACGAAGCUUUUUGUGACGGUACCUAGAUAAGAAGCACCGGCUAACUACGUGCCAGCAGCCGCGGUAAUACGUAGGGUGCGAGCGUUGUCCGGAAUUACUGGGCGUAAAGAGCUCGUAGGUGGUUUGUCGCGUCGUUUGUGUAAGCCCGCAGCUUAACUGCGGGACUGCAGGCGAUACGGGCAUAACUUGAGUGCUGUAGGGGAGACUGGAAUUCCUGGUGUAGCGGUGGAAUGCGCAGAUAUCAGGAGGAACACCGAUGGCGAAGGCAGGUCUCUGGGCAGUAACUGACGCUGAGGAGCGAAAGCAUGGGUAGCGAACA